CCUUGGACAAGGCACAAUUAAAUAUGAACAGGGUGUUUCACCCUAAGGUUUUUCCUGGGGCUGGCAGAGCAAGGGGCCGUCUGUGUGGCAGAGUUAAUAGGGGUUCAUGCCUGAACCGAGGCUCACACAUUUUUCCCAUGUCUGGGCCCUCAUUACAUCAGAUGCCUGGAUACUCAGGGCAGUCCACGGAUAUCUCAUAGACUUUGUGUCCCUACGCAUCCAGCAAUCCCCACCAGGGGAGAUUGUUUGUUUUUUCCCGGUCAGACACUAUCCUCGUCUCCGAGGAAAUCCAUGAAUUGGCACUCAAAGGGGUUAUUCUAGAAAUCCCGAUGCAUACCCCGGGUUUUGUGAGCAACCUGUUUAUUGUCCCCAAGAAAGGUGGCGGAACCCGCCCAGUCAUCAAUCUCAAGCACCUAAAUUCCUAUGUAAGCUACCACCAUUUCAAAAUGGAAGGCAUUCAUUGCCUACGAGAUUUGCUCCAACCAUCAGACUGGAUGGUGAAACUCGAUCUAAGAGAUGCUUAUCUCACAGUGCCCAUUGCGGAGGCCUAUCAGGAUUUCCUGCAAUUGACAUG